GAUGAACGCUGGCGGCGUGCCUAAUACAUGCAAGUCGAGCGAACGGACGAGAAGCUUGCUUCUCUGAUGUUAGCGGCGGACGGGUGAGUAACACGUGGAUAACCUACCUAUAAGACUGGGAUAACUUCGGGAAACCGGAGCUAAUACCGGAUAAUAUUUUGAACCGCAUGGUUCAAAAGUGAAAGACGGUCUUGCUGUCACUUAUAGAUGGAUCCGCGCUGCAUUAGCUAGUUGGUAAGGUAACGGCUUACCAAGGCAACGAUGCAUAGCCGACCUGAGAGGGUGAUCGGCCACACUGGAACUGAGACACGGUCCAGACUCCUACGGGAGGCAGCAGUAGGGAAUCUUCCGCAAAGGGCGAAAGCCUGACGAAGCAACGCCGCGUGAGUGAUGAAGGUCUUCGGAUCGUAAAACUCUGUUAUUAGGGAAGAACAUAUGUGUAAGUAACUGUGCACAUCUUGACGGUACCUAAUCAGAAAGCCACGGCUAACUACGUG
rnacentral:rRNA from 1 species